rnacentral:rRNA from 1 species
AGAAUCAACGCUGGCGGCGUGCCUAACACAUGCAAGUCGAACGCGGUUACUGCUGCUUCGCAAGAAGUAGUGGUAACUGAGUGGCGAACGGGUGAGUAACACGUGGGUGACCUGCCUUCGAGUGGGGGAUAACAUCCCGAAAGGGGUGCUAAUACCGCAUGACAUCCUGCCUUUAAAGAGGUGGAGAUUAAAGCUGGGGAUCGUAAGACCUGGCGCUUGAAGAGGGGCCCGCGUCCGAUUAGCUAGUUGGUGGGGUAACGGCCUACCAAGGCGACGAUCGGUA